GGGACAACAGUUGGAAACGACUGCUAAUACCGCAUAAGCCCACGGGUCGGCAUCGACCAGAGGGAAAAGGAGCAAUCCGCUUUGAGAUGGCCUCGCGUCCGAUUAGCUAGUUGGUGAGGUAACGGCCCACCAAGGCAACGAUCGGUAGCCGGACUGAGAGGUUGAACGGCCACAUUGGGACUGAGACACGGCCCAGACUCCUACGGGAGGCAGCAGUGGGGAAUAUUGCACAAUGGGGGAAACCCUGAUGCAGCGACGCCGCGUGGAGGAAGAAGGUCUUCGGAUUGUAAACUCCUGUUGUUGAGGAAGAUAAUGACGGUACUCAACAAGGAAGUGACGGCUAACUACGUGCCAGCAGCCGCGGUAAAACGUAGGUCACAAGCGUUGUCCGGAAUUACUGGGUGUAAAGGGAGCGCAGGCGGGAAGACAAGUUGGAAGUGAAAUCCAUGGGCUCAACCCAUGAACUGCUUUCAAAACUGUUUUUCUUGAGUAGUGCAGAGGUAGGCGGAAUUCCCGGUGUAGCGGUGGAAUGCGUAGAUAUCGGGAGGAACACCAGUGGCGAAGGCGGCCUACUGGGCACCAACUGACGCUGAGGCUCGAAAGUGUGGGUAGCAAACAGGAUUAGAUACCCUGGUAGUCCACACCGUAAACGAUGAUUACUAGGUGUUGGAGGAUUGACCCCUUCAGUGCCGCAG
rnacentral:rRNA from 1 species